ACGAACGCUGGCGGCAGGCUUAACACAUGCAAGUCGAGCGCCCCGCAAGGGGAGCGGCAGACGGGUGAGUAACGCGUGGGAACGUACCUUUUGGUUCGGAACAACUCCGGGAAACUGGAGCUAAUACCGGAUAAGCCCUAACGGGGAAAGAUUUAUCGCCGAAAGAUCGGCCCGCGUCUGAUUAGCUAGUUGGUGAGGUAACGGCUCACCAAGGCGACGAUCAGUAGCUGGUCUGAGAGGAUGAUCAGCCACACUGGGACUGAGACACGGCCCAGACUCCUCCGGAGGCAGCAGUGGGGAAUAUUGGACAAUGGGCGCAAGCCUGAUCCAGCCAUGCCGCGUGAGUGAUGAAGGCCUUAGGGUUGUAAAGCUCUUUUGUCCGGGAAGAUAAUGACUGUACCGGAAGAAUAAGCCCCGGCUAACUUCGUG
rnacentral:rRNA from 1 species